rnacentral:pre_miRNA from 1 species
UGAUGGUGUUACUGGUGAAUGCAAUGAUGGAAUCAAUGGUGCUGGUGAAUGUAAUGCUGGAAUCACCAGGACCAUUAAUUCUACCAUUGUAUUCACCAGCACUAUUGAUUGCAUCAUUGCAUUCACCAGCAACA